CAAAGAGCACAUGGUCAUGGCUGUUAUCGCUCCCUGAUUUAAGUUGAUUUGAAGGCACAUUCGUUUUACGUCAUUCCAUAAGCAACAGUAAAGGAUAAACAUUACCGUCUGAGUCUGUUGUCUUUUGGGAAACGUUAUCUGACUGCCGAGUCAAGCAAGGCGUUUGACGCAGAGGGCAGAACAGACGAACUACAACUUUUUCCAUGAUCUUUGAAAUGAAAGGAAGAUUUGAGAUAGGUCUAUAGUUUCCUAAAACACUGGGUUCACGAUUUGGUUUCUUUAGGACGGGUCUGAUAACAGCCAUUUUAAAAGGUUUUAGAACAUAUCCAAGCCUAAGAGAAGAAUUUAACACAUUUAACAUGGUAGUGUCAAUCUGUGGUGCAAUUUCCUUGAAGAAUUUUGUAGGAAUUGGGUCUACAAGGCUAGUAGAGGAUUUACAGGAGAAAAUUAAGCUCAAAAGUUCUGAGUGUGUAAUAGGAAUGCAUGAUUCAAAGGUCUCAUUAUUGGUAGACAUAAGACUAGCAGGAGGCAGGCAGCCGUAAGUAGGUAAAGGUGUGCACUGGAUAGUCUGUCUAAUUGUAGUUAUCUUACCAUUAAAAAAUGUAAGAAAGUCAUCACUCUUAAGAGCUUGCGGGAUUUUCAAGUUUAAUGCGGAAUUCUGUGUUAUCCUAGCCACGGAUUCAAAUAGGAAUUUAGGAUUGGUUUUGUUCAUGUCUAUUAAUCUGGAGAGAUACACAGACCAAGCAGUCACUAGUGCUUGUCUGUAUUUAGAGAGGCUCUCUUUCCAGGCAGAUUUGAAAACUUCCAGUUUAGUUGAGCGCCAUUUUCGCUCUAGCUUGCGUGAUGCCUGUUUGAGAUCACGUGUAUUAUCAGAGUGCCAGGAGGCAGUUUUGUUAUCUCUAUGCUUUAUCCUCUUAAGUGGAGCCACAAGAUCUAGAGUACUGCGAAGGGAUUUUUCCAUGUUUGAAGUUACCUGUUCAAGUUCAUUUACACACGAUGCUUCAGAUGUAAGGCUAAAGGACUGUGGAAGUUGUUUCAUAAAUGUUGUUGUAGUUAGUGCCUUAAUAGGACGUCUGAUUUUAUACUUUGGAGUGAUGGUCAACAGGAGGUUAUACUGGAUUUCAAAUGUUAACAAGUAAUGAUCUGAGAGCAGAGGACUCUGUGGCAUAAUAGACACAUGUUCUACCACGAUGCCAUGACUAAUGAUCAAAUCAAGGGUAUGGUUACAGACAUGAGUAGGCCCGACUACAUUCUGACAUACACCUACAGAGUCAAGAAUAGCUGCAAACGCUAUUUUUAAAGGAUCAUUAUCCUUCUCCAUACGAAUGUUAAAAUCACCCACAAUAACGGCUUUGUCAGUACUGACCACCAGGUUUGUUAAAAAAUCAGCAAAUUCCUUAAGAAAAUCACUGUACGGCCCAGGCGGUCUAUACACAAUAACAAUGAUGAUUUGGGGUGACGAACUAGUAAGAGAUGAGCCAGCAAGGCUAAGAACAAGAGUUUCAAAUGUGCUGAAACUCACACCACAUUUCUCAGACACUCCUAAGUUGGACUGAAAAAUUGCAGCAACACUUUGCGAUUUGGUCGAGGGUUAUCCUUAUAACUGUAUUCCGCUGGAGUAGAUUCAUUUAGUGCCAUGAAUUCAUCCGGUUUAAGCCAGGUCUCAGUAAGGCACAGGGCACCAAGACUAAAAUCAGUAAUUAUUUCAUUUAUUAAUAGUGCUUUAGGAGCCAGUGAUCUUCCUGUAGACUACGGGCUAUGCUUUUAGACAGGAGGUCGGCACCAGCCCGCGAGGGGUGAAUACCGUCCCUCUUCAAAAGCCCAGGCCUACCCCAGAACAUCCGCCAGUUGUCUAUAUAACCUACACCAUUUAUCGGGCACCAUUCCGACAGCCAGCGAUGUAGCGACGAUAAUAUGCUGUACAUUUCAUCGCCAUGUCUAGCAGGGAUGGGGCCAGAGCACGUUACUGACACACACAUCUUCUUUGCAAUGUUGCACACCUUUUGAAAAUUUGCCUUAGUGAUCUCCGAUUGCCUCAAUCGGACAUCAUUAGUGCCGACGUGGAUAACUAUCUGAGAGUAUUUACGUUUACUUUUAGCCAGCACUUUUAAAUUUGCCGAGAUGUUGGUUGCUCUGGCACCAGGGAGACAACUUACAAUGGUUGCUGGAGUCGCUACUCUCACGUUUCUUAGAAUAGAGUCACCAAUUACUAGAGCACUUUCAACAGGUGUCUCAGUGGGAGUUUCACUGAGUGGGGAGAACCUGUUGGAAACGCAGAUAAGCGAAUGGUGCCGGUGUAAGUUUGGUUUGGAUUUACGACUAUGCCACCGGGUCGUCACCCACUCGCCUUGCUGCGAAGGCUCUGCUGCCGGAGCAGGGGGAGACUUACUGGCUAUCGCGGACAUAUCCGGAGCCGCUAAUACUGAGUCAAUAAAACUCUCAUUCUCCUGAAUGUUAUGUAACGUCCGGAUACGUCCCUCUAACACUACAAUCUUCUCCGUCAGCGUAACGACUAACUGACACUUCUCACAUGUAUAAAUACCGCUAAUGACUGGAGAAGAAUAGCUAAACAUAUUGCACUCAGAACACGGAACAGGAGACAUGGCGUUGUACUUACGGUAAACUGAGGCUCUAAGGCUGGAAGCACCUUCUUAAUUGAACGAUCGUGGGUCGGUACUUGCGUAGGUGAUUAAUUCGUCGGAGUCUGGGAAAUUAAUUUUUUUGGAGGAUUAUUAAUCUUGCGAAGCUUUUUCCAAUGACUUAACUCGAAUUAUUAUUUAGGUGAUAUCUAUAGUUUCAAAGUUCGCGCGCUAGCAGUCAGUAUCCCUCUCGGAGGAAACAGCGGAAAUUACGUCAGGAAUGUGUUAAAAUGUUUUCUAUUGUCAUGUCAUCCUGUUUUGACUAGCAUCAAAACAGGCAAUGUACAAAAAAAGCUACAAGCAUGUUAGCAUUUUAGCAUGAAAACCGGAAGUGGGCGUAUCUCCGCCUAGGAAUGUCGUAGAGACUUUAGAAAAAGUUCCUCAGAUCAGGCUGAAACGUUAGAUCUAGGUGUAUUGUUCCUCCUAGAUUCAGAAUCUGCAGUUUUCAAAACUUAGCAUGUUAGCAUUUUAGCAUCAAAACCGGAAGUGGGCGUAUCUCCGAUAUUCCUAGGCGGAGAUACGCCCACUUCCAGUUUUGAUGCUAACAUGCUGUCGUAGGAAUGUCGUAGAGACUUGAGGAAAAAGGUCCUCAGAUCCGUCUUGAUGAGUAGAGUCAAGAGAUGAAACUAGCAUCAAAACACGCUAUGCACAAAAAAUAUUUCAGAAACAGAGCAAAAUAGAGAUUUCCUCUGUAUCCGUGUAUGCGUAGCGCAUCGGUCACGUCCCCGGCAUGUUUCUCAUUUGGAGUGUGGAUAUGACUGAAUGUCUGUCUGAAUGUCAAAAUAGAGAAAGCGAUGUCUCUCAUUUGGAGUGUGGAUAUGACUGAAUGCUUCUUAGUCUGAAUGUUGGCACUGACUAUGAGUGUUGCUCUAUCAGAACAAUGAUCUUUGCGCAUCUGAUCAUCUGAUAACUCCCCAGUGUAUCAUUGUUAAACCCCUUGCAGAUCAAUCAGGAGGGAACUUGUGACUUUAGUCCUCUCUGCCAUUCAGAGAUGACAGCAUUUCUGACUACACUGUGUAUACCAGCUGUAUGAUAGCAUUUCUGACUACAUUUCAAUACUGUGUAUACCAGCUGUUAUACUGGAUGCUAGGGAUGUAACGAUACACUCAACUCACGAUUCGAUACAAUUCAUGAUUCUGAGUUAACAGAUUUUUUUUAGCAAGAUGAGCUGUAGGCAAAUUUACUCAAAAAUAUUCCUUUAUCUUUCUAAACUGUGCAAAAUGUGUCCUCUUCUUAACAGUGCAACUGAAAUUGAAUAAAAUUCUGUUUUAAAAAAUAAAAAAAAAUCCCAAAUUAAAAAAAAAAAAAAAAUCUUCAAAUAAAUGCAUAACACUUUACAUUAACUACACCUUCAUAAUGCUUUUGUAUUGCAUUCAUAAAACGUUCGGUACACCUUUAUUCAUUAAUAUGUGCUAUUUGUGUAUGUUAGUCUUUUACAAUGUUUACACGCAGUUUUUUCCUUGUCUGUGCUUUUCUCGCUGUUUUUGUUUGUGAUUACCAGAAAGCUAAAAUGCUGCCACACUGCCGGGGGGUGUGUCCUCCUCCGUUAGGGCAAAAUCAAAAACUAAUGUACGACGUCAAUGUGAAUACGCAGUGACAUCUGACAUCGAAUUGACAUUGUGAAAUCAAAUGUAAUAUUACACCAGUUUUUCUGUUAAAUAAAGUACCGUGAAGUUCUCCUGAAGUAGCGAUUCAUUUUCCACAUCAGCCAGUUUAAAUCGUCGUGCAUUUACAUCAAUUUUUAACCAAUUCGCGAUUCAUCGUUACAUGCCUACUGGAUGCCAUACAGGAAAUGUGAUUUUAUAGCAUGUGGCAUGAUACAGACAUAGGGCCUGUAAAAUACAUUUAAUGGCUAAGACAGACAGAGCUUUCUCCUACAGAGAUCCUCAGCUGUGGAAUGGUCUCCCACCAGAUGUGUGGGUUUCAGGCUCACUCUCAAUAUUCAAGUCUACACUAAAAACACACCUGUUUAGUUUAGCAUAUAGGGACACUAGUUCUAGCUCUAGCUAACUCUUCACUCCCAGUCAGACCUGUAGUGUGAGGUGUAGAGCUGGGUGGGGAUCGGUGCCAUUGGCUUUGGAUUAACUGGACUGUCAGUCUGUCACUCUAGCUUCGCAAUCCCUUGUGGAGCUGGAGUGCUGACAUUUCAGGGACUCCCCAUGCCUGCAUUCCCACUUGCCUCUCCCUCCUACUGAUGCUGCCAUAGCCAUAUCUGCCGGAGCUUGUACAUUGGACUUCAUAUUGCACUCAUCUAGCUUUUAGCACUGCCGAUAGCCUCCUCUACUUUGACUAAUUGUACAUUUUAUUUCCCAUAUUCCUCCUGGGGGGUGAUGCCUGGAGACCUCAAUCUAUCAAGAUGUCCAGCAUACCCUACUACAUGUGAUGUCACCACCACCAGUGACGUCCCUGCAUCCAGGUAAUGUGGCUGUAUCUGGUCCCCAGCAAUAAAGAUCCUGGGAGCCGGAACCAGAGGUAAGGCAGUGGGUUAUACACCGAAAGUUAACGUUUUAUAUAUUUUAGUUUCAGUUUAUGUUUUUGUCAUUUUAUUUCAAGGGCUAGAUGGAGAGUUAUAGAUUUUGCUAGCUACUGCUAAGUGUUGUGCCAUUGGCUAAUUUUAUGGUGAUUAUAUGCUAAUUAUACUAAUGCUGCUACUGCUAAUGCCUAUUUCUGCUGCUGCUGCUCCCUUUGUUUCUUUUUCUCUGCAUUCUGUAGCUCUCGCCCCUCAGUACAAUAUUAUCCUCUGUCUCCUGUGGCUGCUUUCAAUUACAGUGGAAAGUGAGCCAGAGGAUGCCCCACUAGAGGACCUGGAGUUGAAUGCUACGGCCAUCACUUUGGCCCCUGUUCCUGUUCCUUGCUCAUAAUUACCCAGCUGCAGGUUCCAGCUUCAGCCUCACAUUUCCUGGACCUGGGGUAGCCACUGACAUCAUGAACGGUGUUGAAGAAGGUCAGGUAGACUCUCCAUAUCCUGGAAGGGAUGCCGAAGGCACACACUGUGUUUGUGCCACCCAGAUCCCUUCCGGGCCAACUCAGUGACCCCUGUCGGUUCACCUGAGGACCACAAGGCGUCAGUGUUGCCAGCUCCUGCUGCCCCAAAUCCAUCCACAGCAAUAGUCUCACAGCUCGACCCAGGUCCAACCAGACCUUCCUUGUGGGCCUGACCCGCAGCAGCUAACGCUCUCCAGUUCUUGUCCCAAUGCCUGUAGGGCCCGCGGCUUCAUAUGUUCCCGAGUUUCUGUUCCACUUUCCCUCCAGAUCUCAGGCUUUCCCCUUCUUCAGUCCUGGUCCCCGUGUUUUUCCCCUCAGUGGCAUUCCCUUGGCCCGCCCUCCCUGGUGACCUGUCAGUGAUCCAUAAUGCCCUAGUCCCAAAGUCCUGUUCCCAAUGGUGUUCCCCAUUUGAGUGUCCCCUUAGGUUCAAUGCUCUGUUGUCAUCUUCCCUGGUCAUUGGGUUACAUUGAUAUAUGAUCUUGUGUGGUUCCUGGUCCCCAGUCCCAUUAGCUUUUUGUAACUGUCAUGAUGCCCAGCACCAGCUCUGCCCAUUCCACCUGCUUGUCCUAGUCCUCUUGUUGUUUCACAGCAUAGUCCAGUCCAUCCAUCCAUCCAUUUUCCAAACCACUUAUCCUACUGGGUCGCAGGGGGCCCAGAGCCUAUCCCAGAAGCAAUGGGCACGAGGCAGGGAACAACCCAGGAUGGGGGGCCAGCCCAUCGCAGGGCACACUCACACACAAUUCACUCAGACAAGCACUAUUACGGGCAAUUUAGCAAAUCCAAUUAGCCUCAGCAUGUCUUUGGACUGUGGGGGGAAACCGGAGUACCCAGAGGAAACCCCAUGACGACAUGGGGAGAACAUGCAAACUCCGCACAUAUGUGACCUAGGUGGAGACUCGAACCCGGGUCCCAGAGGUGUGAGGCAACAGUGCUAACCACUGCACCACCAUGCCACCCCUCCCCUGUAUAUGUUGUAUAUUAUGCCUAUUUACUGUAUUUCCUCCCUGUACAAUGACAAUAAAGGCUUUCUGUUCUGUCCUAUUAAUGUCCUGCUUCAGCGUCAACCAAAACAUGACUGAGUAACAAGGUCUGGUUACACCCCCGUCAGGCAAAAGCAGCUGGUGCCCAAGUACAUGGCGCCUUAAGGUGAUACAACAGACUGUUGCAAAGUAGAAACUAUUCUACAGAGUUCAGCUUGCUUUAGGUU